ACUCGUGGGCAGGAAGCAAGGGCGGACCCCGAGAGAUGACUGAUUGUGGGGGUGGGGACCGUCUGCUCCUCCUAAUGGCUGGGGACCGUGCACGUCUGCGCGGGCCGGACCUGCUCUUCUCGGGAACUUGCGCGGGAGGAGGCCCGGAGCUGCGCCGCUUUACCCUCUGCUCCCCGGUGCCUAAAACGCACACGCAUCAAAGUCACAGGACGAGUUAGAGGGGGGCUCUAAAUGUAAUCACAAGUGUUCCUAUAGGAGAAAGGCAGAGGGAGAUUUGAAACACAGAGGAGGUGAUGAGAAGACACAGCAGAAGAUAUCUGAAGACUGGAAAGAAUGCUGCAACCAACAGGAGAAGGAAAAGACAGAAAUGUGUUUUCCAUUUGGAGCAUCCAGAGGGAGCACAACCAUAUCAACACCUUGAUUUUGAUCCAGUGACAUUGAUUUUGGACUUGUGGCCUCCAGAACUUUUAGAGAAUAAAUUUGCAUUGUUUUAAGCCAACAGGUUGGUGGAAAUUUUUUACAGCAGCCACAGGAAGCAAACACAGACUCCUAACUGGUGCUUAGUCCUAGAAUAUCAGUUUCUGUUCCACUUCUGGAUCUCAUAAUUGCAUCUCAGACAUCAACACUGACUUCAUAUUCUUAAUGCACCAAUUCUACCAUUUCUUCAGGCUGCAAACAGAGAAAAACUUAUUUAAGCAUUCCAGAAUUGACCCAAUAGAAGACUCUCCAGAAAAGACUGCAUGGUCUCUGAAGCAGCAUGAUCAGCAUGACUGGCUGCAUCUGGGCUCCACCGUUUGCCACUUCAGACAGGUCCUUAGCCUCUUAGAGGUUCAUUUUCCUUGCUGUAGCCCGGAGUAAGAAUGUUUAGCCUACAAGAUUUAUUUUGAGGCAUCAAUGAAUCACUAUGUGAGCCUCACACAGUGUCUGGCACUGAUAUUACAAAAUAUGGUUGAUCUUGCCAUCCUUGUUAUUGUCCUGGUGGGGAUUCCUCUCUGUUGAAGAUACGGAGCCUCUAAAAAUGAGUGGCAGAGGCUCCCAGCUCAGGAUCCUUGUCCAGGUCCUAAAGAUCCUCCACUCUGCUUGUCACUCUGUUCAUUAUGUUUGCAUGGCCACCACGGUCAACACUACUGCGGCCUACCUCAAGUUCUCAUGCCUCACUCUCUGAGCUCAUGAGGACACAAGGAUCCUUUGGCAACACAUUAACUACACUCUGUGGCCAUCCCUUGACUUCUGAGAGGAUGUUUCCCUCCUCUCAAUCAAAAGCUCUCUUCCCUCCUGGGCAAGAUCCUUGCAUGCACCCAGCACCCUCACACCUGGUGCCCUCACACCCAGCACUCUCACACGUGGUGCCCUCACACCCAGCACCCUCACACCCAGCACCCUCACACCUGGUGCCCUCACACCCAGCACCCUCACACCUGGUGCCCUCACACCCAGCACCCUCACACCUGGUGCCCUCGCACCCAGCACCCUCACACCUGGUGCCCUCGCACCCAGCACCCUCACACCUGGUGCCCUCGCAACCAGCACCCUCACACCUGGUGCCCUCACACCCAGUGCCCUCACACCCAGCACUCUCACACUUGCACUGUCCUCAUCCCAACUCUGUGGUUCCUCUGGGGAAUCACUGUGGAAUCCCUCAUGGGAGGAUGUUUUCAAAAGAAACAACAGCCCAAUGAAGGGUAUUUGAGGAUGAGAAGCAGGAAAGAAGUCAGUGGGUGGCUGAGUUGUGUCCAGGUUUUGCGUGGCCAUGGAAAAUCAGGUGAAGGACAUUAAAUAUCUUGCAGUGGCUUCUCCAUUAGGAGCAUGAAAUGAGGAAAGGGGCUGUCCUCACAGGCCAGCCAAGAGGGAUGCCUAUGCCAAACAGAAAGACUGACAGUAAACAGAAUCCAGGAUGACAUGACUGAGGUAUGGUGUGCAGGGCAUGGCCCAGGGAGGAGGGUAGAUAAGUAAGCCUGGGUGCACCUUCAGAGGAAGAAAUAACAGAGGCUGCAGGCGAGAGAGUUACAAGGAAGGAGGAGCAGGAAGACACGAGAAAAAUUCAGAUAAACUCAACAUCUCCAGCCUGGGGGAAACGUGAGAGGGUGGUAUGAAGAUACACACGAUGCAUGUUGCUUAGUGAAAGCAGCCAGUCGGAAAAGGCUACGUAGUGAAUGACCCCAACUAUGACAUUCUGAAAAAGGCAAAACUAUGGAGACAGGAUAAAGAUCAGUGGUUGCCAGUGAGGCAGGAGAAUAGGGUCUGGGGGCAGGGAGCCUAAGGCUGAUUCAUGCUGACUUCAUGAACGGAAUCAAAAGGAAAACCCUAAAUUUCCAUGCCCACGUAACAAAAGGAUCAGAGGCUACUCCCUUUGCAACUCCCCCCAACUUUCUGUGUUGCAGAUGAAAAAUGGAAAGUGCCUCGGAUUGGUCCCCUCCUGCAACCAGUCAGACAUCUGCAUAGAGCGUAACUUUGUAACUUCACUUCAGCCUCUGCUUGGUCACCUUCCACAACCAAUCAGACUGGUCAUGGGCCACUAUUUCAUAGGGUGUAAACCAAGUGACCAAUGGGAAACAUCUAGAGGGUAUUUAAACCCCAGAAAAUUCUGCGACCAGUGCUUUUGAGCCUUGCUUGGGCCUGCUCCCACUCUGUGAAGUGCAUUUUUGUUUCAAUACAGCUAUGCUUUUGUUGCUUC
rnacentral:lncRNA from 1 species